rnacentral:rRNA from 1 species
AGAAUCAACGCUGGCGGCGUGCCUAACACAUGCAAGUCGAACGAGAAAGGGGUAGCAAUACCUGAGUAAAGUGGCGCACGGGUGAGUAACACGUGACUAACCUACCCUGGAGUGGGGGAUAACUGAGGGAAACCUUAGCUAAUACCGCAUAAUACCUACGGGUCAAAGGAGCAAUUCGCUUCAGGAGGGGGUCGCGGCCGAUUAGUUAGUUGGCGGGGUAAUGGCCCACCAAGACGAUGAUCGGUAU